CGCUGGCAGCAGCAAGCUUUCUGUGGUCCCCGAAGAGGAGUUUGAUAUGGCCUCCAUGACAGCAUAUUCAAACAGUGAGCGCUGGCUUCUAGUGAUGCUUGUCAUCCUGAGUUUCUUACGAGGUGAAAUAAACACGAAAUGUGCUCCAGAUCACACCUACACCGGAUACUGUAAUAAAACUUCGCCAGGGUGGACAUUUAACACAACGAUUUGGGAGUGUCAACCCCAAACAAAUGGUUGUGAUGGUCUUGCGAACAUAUUUGGAAGUUGUUACACGUGUUCUAUUCAAUGCCAUACUUUGGAAUCUCCAGAUGAUCACUGCGAACCGAAGUUCAAGAAGCUGCGCACCUAAGAAGACCUUUCAAGAAAUAGGCGGAUAGCUGUAGGUGAUCGGGGAUACUGGUGUCGUAUUCCACAUAUUUCGUGCGAGAACAAUA
rnacentral:lncRNA from 1 species